ensembl:lincRNA
GUGGGGAUAUGGAGAGGAGCCAGCACUGUACUUCUCACCAAGGAGAGCAGGUGUGGAGGGGCCUGGGCUGCCACGGCCCCAUGCUGCUGCUCUCCUCUGGAAAGGAGGAGGUGCACUCCGCAGGUGGCAGGGCACCAGCUAGGGCAGGGUUCCCGUGACUGGGGUCAAAGAGCUCACUCAUUUCCUGUGGAAGGGCCGGCCACAUGCAGACGCCAGAGCCAUGCAGGGAAAGCGCAGGAUGGACACUGGCACAGAUCGAGGACCAGGCCCCAGCCAUGGACACGGCACAGCAGAAACCAGAGAUACCGGCGACCUUCUGAAAACCAGGGCUCCCAGGCCAGGGAGAAGGAGAGCACGUCCACAGCAGAGAAAUCCUUCAGGAAGAGGUGGGAGCACAAGGUCAGCGAGGCCCGCCAGAGCAUCCAAUUACCCACCUGCCCGCCGCGGACGUCAGCUGCUAACCAACCAGCUUUUCAGGGAUAAUAAUUUUUUAAAAAGAAGUCAGCCUCGGGGUGGGAGGGCUGUGGCGUUUCGUCUGAAUUCCGAAAUGAAUAAUUUAUAUAAAAGCUUUACUGGAGCCCAGAGUCCCACAGUAAAUGUUCCACGAGAACACGCGCAAAUAUUUCAGCAUCGCUCUCUCUCUCCGGUGGAUUCAGCUGAUGGCCCAAAACAGACCUGAGCUGCCGCACUUCUUUUUUUCGAAAAAUAUCAUAACCCCAGGUUUAUUUGCACUUUUCCAGGCGUCCACGCCAUGAUGGAUUGGAGAGGGGCCGCGGCAGCAAAGGCAGCUGCUGCUCCUGGCUGAGGGAAGAAAGCAAGGUCUGGGUUGGGCCGGAAUUGCGGAGAGGACCCCAGCUGCCAGCGCAGGGCCCUUCUGCCCACCUAGCAGCAAUGAGAAGGACCGGAGAGGAGUUGGGCCGGCCCAAUAUUCAGCCCCUUAGCACUGGGGGCAGGGGAGGGGACCAGUUCCCGACUGCACAAGGGUGAGAUGCUCAGCGAAGAGCAAGGCGCCUCUGGUUCCAAUCCCCCUCCCAGCUGGGCCGCGGGGCUCCGUUACUGUCCUUGUGUGUGAAGUGGGAAAGAGAGUCCUCCCGGCAAGGCAUCCUGAGAUGUAAGGAGCAGAGGGUGGCGGGGGGGAGGCCCAGUGCACCAACUUCCAUCCACCCAAGGCUUUCUGUACCGCAAGGGCCCAGGAAGAGCACCACUGACGGCCUGUCCCCCAUGGCACUGGGGCAAGGGAUGCCCGGGGACACAGCCUGCCACACUCACCACCCGGAUCACCAGCCCUGCCUUUCAGGUCUUCUUAACAUUUUAUCUUUCUCCUCGUCUGUGUCUGCAUGUCCUUGGCAGGCUCUGUAGGGCAGCCAGUCAUUCUCCUGGCCUUCUGAGGGCUUCUCCGUCUCCGACCCUACACAAUCCCAUAGAGAGGGCACAGGGAUGGAGGAGACACAGAGCCCAUCUCUGUUCUGAGAACCCUGGAUACAACCCAUGCUUUCUGCCCGCUGAGGACACUUGGCCCUGGAUGGCAGGGGAGGGGACAGAUGGGGCAGGAGUUCAACAGUGGUGCUGGGGAAGGGGAAGGCAGAGAAGCAAGAACAUCCACUGAGAACAUCCCAGUUGGUCAGCAGGGACCGUGGGGGCCUGACCUGAGGACCUGGGCCUCCACUGUGGACCAGCUGUGUGACCCUGGGCAAGUUUCCGACCUCCUCUCUCUGUGGAACAGUCACAGUCUCUUCCCACAGGGAGACACACCCACAGCUCUGGUGCACAGCAGAGGCAACUGGGCCAGGCCUUGAGAAAUGCCAGUUUCCUGUUCUACAGGACACAAAGGGAGCCAGCACACAGAACUUCCUGCCACCCUCUGUGAGUCAUAGCACAUGCAGGGCCAGGGCCCACACGUUCUGCCCAGGGCCCUGUGCGUGCCCUGCCCACUCACCUCACCAGCCACCGUGCCUUCCUUCCCUCCCCGGGGCACCCAGUAUGGGUGGUGGUGUCCCCUUUGUUUCCACACUGCCCCUGCACUUGGGAGUUAGUUUCAUCUCUUCUUAUGAAUGGAUACCAAUUAGCCAAUCACAUAUCCCAUCUUCCUCUCCAGGGCUUAUUUCAGCCAAUCAGCACACAGAAUUCCCUGGUGCCUGUAACAGGUCCAGCAGAAGGCACAUGACCUAAAAUGGCCAAUCAGAGUGAAGAGGACUUUUGCUUCAUCUAGGUUUCUCCUACUGGGGGUGAAUGAGCAAGUCCAUUGUUCUGAUUGUGACAGUUACUCUGCCAUCACAAAGCCAUGGGGGAGGCUGCCUGUACACAGGUAAGUGGAGUCAAGGGAAUGGAGCUGAACCCCUGAUCAUGCUGUGCCUGCAGCCCCUCUACCUCAGAACCUCUGGUUACGUGUGAUGAUAGAACUCUUUAUGAGCCAUGGUGUCCUCAAGGGCACAGGUUGGAGAUUCAUUCGCUCAUUCCUCAGGGCCAGGAAUGAAAAGCCAAAUGGCAAAAACCCUCCCACCCACCAAGUGCUCACUGUGCAGGGAGGGAGCAAGGUGCAGACAUCCUCCAACCAGGGGAAGCACAGGAUGAGGAGGGAGGGUCUAGCAGGCUGGGGGAAGCUGGUAGAGCAGGAGCUGAGUGGAAAGAGGCAGAGAUGCUGGUGGGGUAAGCAGACGUGUUUGGGCUGGGAGGUGUGCAGUGACUGGACCACAUUCCCCAACAUCCUUGGAGGGCAUCUGGAUUUUUAAAAUCCAUACCAAGUCCUGCCAAAUUCCACUUGUCGGCUGUGGCCACCCUGUGAGGGCCCUGGACCAGAGCCUCCUGAGGCUGCCGGGAAGCAGGCUGUGCUCCUACAGGGCAGGAUGGGGUGAGGGGUGGCAGGUUCCCCACUGAGCAGGGACCCAGUUCUGACUCCGCAAGCUGAGCACCCUGUAAAAGCAUCUGCUGCCUCACAUGGAAAAGGGCAGGAUGAGGGUGUCUGCUUCAGCCAAUUAUCAUGUGUACUCUGCGGAUGGAAAUGAAGCUCAGACUGCAUCUGAUGUGGCCAGCUCCAUGAACAUGCAUGUUCCCAGCUCCAUGAACAUGCAUGUGCCAGGCUGUCAGGCCAUGAGUGAGGCCCAUGUGGGUCCCAGGUGCCAGCCACAUGCUCCAGCCCCACCUCAGCACACAGGGUCCCUGGUGACUGUCACAGCUCAGGGGUGGCACGUGACCUAGGCUGGCGAUGCUGAGUACCAGGGACUAGAGGUGCCAUCCAGCUGAAAACUAUGAAGCCAAAGGACAUCUGGCAGCGAAGGAAACAUGAGAGGUGGGAAGCAAAGGGGCUGAGCCCAAGGCCACCACACUCCUGGGCAGUGAGUUUCCAGGCUCAGCGUGGGGACUGGGACCAGGGGGAGCCAAGAGACCCCUGAGUGGAGCAGACCAAGCUGAGAGCCAGGGGGUGCCCGGGGCAGCCUAAGUCUUCAGGACAGAGCACUGAGAGGGGUAGCUGCAGAGACAGAGCGGGCAGCAGGGUGCAGCAGAGCCAUGCAGACAGGAAACUCCCUGAGGCUACAAGCAAGGGCCCAAAGGAUAGGCACACAGGGGUUCAGCCACUGAUUGCCACAGCCACACCAGACACCUCGGUUCCUGCGAGGAGGGCUCAGAACCUGCACGCCAGCCCUGGGAGUCAUCAUCCCAGGCGGAACACGGAGCUGGUCCACCUCACAGAUCUCCAGCACAUCUGAAACGCUCAACGUGCUUCCAAGGAACAGAACUGCAUCCCCAAACAGAGCUCAGAAAUAAUUGAGGAAUUUUUUUAAAGCCAGAAACCAAUAAACAAUUUCUCAGCUUGCAAGGAAGCAUGAAAACACAACCCAUCACAAGAUGAGAAAUCAACCAGAUAUGACUCUGGAUUAACAACACUGUUAGAACCAGCAGUCAGGAACUUUCAAGAGGUUGUCACAUUCGUAUCCCACAUGCUCAGAAAGCCGGAUAGGAAAAGUACGAAAAGACCCAAAUCAAAUUUCUAGACAUGCAAACUAUAAUAUCUGAGUCAAGAAAUACAAUGAAUGGAAGUAAUAACAGAUUAGACGCUGGAGGAGAAAGGAUCAGUGAACUUAAAGACACAGAAUAACAUAUUUUAAACAAAACUCAACAAGGAAAAGUACUUGGAAAAAUUAACAUAGAAUUAGUACUGCGAGGCACACCUUCAAGCAGCCUGAUCCGUGUCUGACAAGAAUUUCAGAAGGGAGAGGGGACAUUUUUUCUUCUUUUUGAAGAAAUAAAGGCUGAAAACAUCCUAAGUAUGAUGAAAACCACACACUCACAGAUUUGAGAAGGACACUAAGGACACUCCAAUACAAGAAAGAUAAAGGCUUUUUUAGUACUGAGGAUCGAUCCCAGAGCCUUUGCCAUGAACCACAAUCCCUAGCCCUUUUUAAUGUUUUUAUUUUGAGAUGAGGACUCACCACUAAAUCAUUAAAUUGCUCAUGAUGGGCUCAAAUUUGCAAUCCUCCUGCCUCAGCCUCCUUGAGUGCUGGGAUAAUAGGUGUGCACUGCCACAUCCAGCUUAAAAAAAAAAGAAAAAAGAAAUGAAACAUAAUGACACGUAGCAAUCACCUUGCUUAACUCUAAGGAUAAAGAAAAUACCUCAAAAUACCAGAGGGGAAAAAACCCGCUACCUAGAGAGGAACAAAGACUAAAAUGGCAGCAGAUUUUGUAUUGGAAAUAAUGAGGGCAAGACCACAGUAGACAACACAUUUAUAGUGAAAGUGAAAAGGAGAUCAACCUUCAAUUCCAUCUGGGGAGAUUGUCUUUUUUUUUUUUUUUUUUGAGACAGGGUCUCACUAUGUAGUUGAGACUGACCUAGAAUUCACUAUGUAGCCCAGGCUGGUCAUGAGCUCACAGGGAUCCUCCUGCCUCAGCCUCCCAAGUGCUGGCAUCACAGGCAUGUGCCACCAUGCCCAGUGGGAGAUUGUCUUUAUAAAGGCAAGGAUGCUGUCCUCAAUAAGAUGCAGUAACCGCACUCUGCUGGCCCCCUCUGCGCACAUCUGUAAAGCAGCUCAGAGGCAUGGACUGAUUAUUCCAGGUCUCUGAAAAGCAAACUGUACCAGAAAAGUAGAGAAAGUCACAUUUCAGAGCUUCACCUCACCAGCAGCAAGGUCACAAUUCUCCUCCUCUGUCACGUGGGGUGGACCCAGGGUGGCCACUGCCACACCCAGCGGGAGCCUCAGGGAAGGCCUCUGCUUCUAGCUCAGGAGUGGCAAAGGAGGCUCCUGGUGCUCAGGGGAAAGGUGGAAAUACCACAGCCUUGCUCUCUGGGCUCUCAACUCCAGCCUGCAAGCCUCCUGGGGCAUUUUUGUCUGACCCAGCAGGGAGGGACCCCCAGGAGCCAAAGCUCCAUCCCAGGGAAGAGAAUUUCCUGUCCAGUGCACGGUCUUGGGACCCCAGCAGACAGGAUAAAUCCCCGCUCCUCUUUCUUCUGUUCUCUGCC